GAUGAAGAACGUAGCGAAAUGCGAUAAGUAAUGCGAAUUGCAGAAUUCCGUGAGUCAUCGAAUCUUUGAACGCACAUUGCGCCCGCGAGUAUUCUCGCGGGCAUGCCUGUCCGAGCGUCAUUUCAACCCUCAGGGCCCGCCUGCUUCGGCAGGCGCGGCGCUGGUGUUGGGGAUCGGCCUAACCGCCGUCCCCCAAAUACAGUGGCGGUCUCGCUGCAGCCUCCCCUGCGUAGUAGCAACACUCGCAUGCGGAGCGCGGCGCGGCCACGCCGUAAAACCCCCGACUUUCUGAACGUUGACCUCGGAUCAGGUAGGAAUACCCGCUGAACUUAAGCAUAUCAAUAAGCGGAGGA
rnacentral:misc_RNA from 1 species